rnacentral:rRNA from 2 species
UGGGGAAUAUUGGACAAUGGGCGCAAGCCUGAUCCAGCCAUGCCGCGUGUGUGAAGAAGGCCUUUUGGUUGUAAAGCACUUUAAGCGAGGAGGAGGCUACUUGGAUUAAUACUCUAAGAUAGUGGACGUUACUCGCAGAAUAAGCACCGGCUAACUCUGUGCCAGCAGCCGCGGUAAUACAGAGGGUGCGAGCGUUAAUCGGAUUUACUGGGCGUAAAGCGUGCGUAGGCGGCUUCUUAAGUCGGAUGUGAAAUCCCUGAGCUUAACUUAGGAAUUGCAUUCGAUACUGGGAAGCUAGAGUAUAGGAGAGGAUGGUAGAAUUCCAGGUGUAGCGGUGAAAUGCGUAGAGAUCUGGAGGAAUACCGAUGGCGAAGGCAGCCAUCUGGCCUAAUACUGACGCUGAGGUACGAAAGCAUGGGGAGCAAACAGG